GGGUCAAUAAGUGCAUUUUCAAAGGGGCCACUUUGUCCGGACUCUAUUUCAAAUUGUAUUCAUCCGAUCUUCACCAAACUUGGUCAGCAGUUGCAUCUAGUUGAUAUAUAGGCCAAGUUCGAAUAUGGGUCAUGCCGGGUCAAAAACUAGGUCAUAGGGUCAAUAAGUGCAUUUUCAACGGCGCCACUUUGUCCGGACUCUAAUUCAAAUUGUAUUCAUCCGAUCUUCACCAAACUUGGUCAGUAGUUGCAUCUAGUUGAUAUCUAGGUCAAGUUCGAAUAUGGGUCAUGUCGGGUCAAGAACUAGGUCAUAGGGUCAAUUAGUGCAUUUUCAACGGCGCCACUUUGUCUGGACUCUAAUUCAAAUUGUAUUCAUCCGAAACUUUUAAACAACUUUUUAUCCUGCGUCAAAGUGGUAUGGGGGUCUAAACAAUUAUGAUUUAAAUAUUGUGUUUUAGAGAACAAAUGAGACUAAGUGUACACUUAUUGAUAUCAAUGCAUAUAUAUGAAUAUAUCAGUUAUAUAA